rnacentral:lncRNA from 1 species
UUAUAUGUUUAAGAAACCCUUAUAGCACUAAGCCACUAUUUGUCUUUUCCAGAGUUCCAACUUACCUUUCCCUAGUUAGUAAUCAUCAUUACAUAGAAGGUUGCAGUAAAUCCAACAUAAAAUUUGAGACGUGCAAGUCCUGCACAAAGUAGUUCCUUUUGGGGGGUUCUAUUUCCCAAAGUGUUUUCCAUGUUAACUUAUUAUUUGUCUUUUCCAGAAAUUCCACUUAUCUAUCCCUACUUAGUAAUCAUCAUUACAUAGAAGGUUGCAGUAAAUCCCACAUAAAAUUUGAGAAGUGCAAGUCCUGCCAAAGUAGUUCCUUUUGGGGGGUUCUAUUUCCCAAAGUGUUUUCCAUGUUAACUUAUUAUUUGUCUUUUCCAGAAAAUUCCACUUAUCUAUCCCUACUUAGUAAUCAUCAUUACAUAGAAGGUUGCAGUAAAUCCCACAUAAAAUUUGAGAAGUGCAAGUCCUGCCAAAGUAGUUCCU